AUCCAGCUGACGAUUCCUAAAAUAGGACGAAACGCGUGUGCUGGAU
rfam:Schistosoma rodhaini strain Burundi genome assembly, scaffold: SROB_scaffold0000677